rnacentral:rRNA from 1 species
CAGUCGCCGCGGGAAUACGUAGGUCCCGAGCGUUGUCCGGAUUUAUUGGGCGUAAAGCGAGCGCAGGCGGUUAGAUAAGUCUGGAGUUAAAGGCUGUGGCUUAACCAUAGUACGCUUUGGAAACUGUUUAACUUGAGUGCAAGAGGGGAGAGUGGAAUUCCAUGUGUAGCGGUGAAAUGCGUAGAUAUAUGGAGGAACACCGGUGGCGAAAGCGGCUCUCUGACUUGUAACUGACGCUGAGGCGCGAAAGCCAGGGGAGCGAACGGGAUUAGAUACCCGAGUAGUCCCUGUCUCUUAUACA